UACGAAGGGGGCUAGCGUUGUUCGGAAUUACUGGGCGUAAAGCGCGCGCAGGCGGCGUGUCAAGUCAGGCGUGAAAGCCCCGGGCUCAACCUGGGAACCGCGCUUGAGACUGGCAUGCUCGAGUUCGGGAGAGGAUGGUGGAAUUCCCAGUGUAGAGGUGAAAUUCGUAGAUAUUGGGAAGAACACCGAUGGCGAAGGCAGCCAUCUGGACCGACACUGACGCUGAGGCGCGAAAGCGUGGGGAGAAAACAGG
rnacentral:rRNA from 1 species